rnacentral:rRNA from 1 species
UACGUAGGGGGCAAGCGUUAUCCGGAUUUACUGGGUGUAAAGGGAGCGCAGGCGGUUCGGCAAGUCUGAUGUGAAAACCCGGGGCCCAACCCCGGGACUGCAUUGGAAACUGCCGGGCUGGAGUGUGGGAGAGGCAGGCGGAAUUCCUAGUGUAGCGGUGAAAUGCGUAGAUAUUAGGAGGAACACCAGUGGCGAAGGCGGCCUGCUGGACCAAGACUGACGCUGAGGCUCGAAAGCGUGGGGAGCAAACAGG